UUUAAUUGAAGAGUUUGAUCAUGGCUCAGAUUGAACGCUGGCGGCAGGCCUAACACAUGCAAGUCGAGCGGCAGCGACAUAAACAAUCCUUCGGGUGCGUCUAUGGGCGGCGAGCG
rnacentral:rRNA from 1 species